rfam:Fukomys damarensis contig95449, whole genome shotgun sequence.
UCCUACUGUGCUUGUUUUUGUUUAUCUUGUAGACAAAGACUUAUAGAAGAUGCAAAAAAAAAUCCACAUUUGCAAUCCAGAACCCAUUAUUCAGCAUGAAUUUUGAUCCACAAAAGAAAGAAUAUU